UAUUUAUAGAAUUGAGUCGACUCAUCUUGAACCUCGAGUCGACUCGUCAUAGUGGGUUGACUCAAUUAUGAGACCGAGUCAGGUCAUCUGUGACAAAUCGAAACCUAUAGACUAUGGCCCAUAGAAUUGAGUCAGCUCAUCUGCAAACGAGAUGACUCCCCAGGAUCUCGAGUCGACUCCAACAGAAAUGAGUUGACUUGCCAAGCAUUCGAAUCGACCCGAAUAAGAA
rnacentral:lncRNA from 1 species